rnacentral:tRNA from 1 species
GGCUCGUUGGUCUAGGGGUAUGAUUCUCGCUUCGGGUGCGAGAGGUGCCGGGUUCGAAUCCCGGACGAGCCC